rnacentral:rRNA from 2 species
AGAGUUUGAUCCUGGCUCAGAACGUACGCUGGCGGCACGCCUAACACAUGCAAGUCGAACGAAGUAGCAAUACUUAGUGGCAGACGGGUGAGUAACAUGUAGGUAUCUACCCUUUGGCCUGGAAUAACACGAGGAAACUUGUGCUAAUACCGGAUAAGUCUUUACGGAGAAAGCUUUAUGCACCAUUGGAUGAGCCUGCACUUGAUUAGUUUGUUGGUGGGGUAAUGGCCUACCAAGACUGUGAUCAAUAGCUGAUUUGAGAGGAUGAUCAGCCACAUUGGGACUGAGACACGGCCCAAACUCCUACGGGAGGCAGCAGUGGGGAAUCUUGCACAAUGGAGGAAACUCUGAUGCAGCGAUGCCGCGUGAGUGAAGAAGGCCCUUGGGUUGUAAAGCUCUUUCGUCGGGGAAGAAAAUGACUGUACCCGAAUAAGAAGGUCCGGCUAACUUCGUGCCAGCAGCCGCGGUAAUACGGAGGGACCUAGCGUAGUUCGGAUUUACUGGGCUUAAAGAGUUCGUAGGUGGUUGAAAAAGUUGGUGGUGAAAUCCCAGAGCUUAACUCUGGAACUGCCAUCAAAACUUUUCAGCUAGAGUGUGAUAGAGGAAAGCAGAAUUUCUAGUGUAGAGGUGAAAUUCGUAGAUAUUAGAAAGAAUACCAACUGCGAAGGCAGCUUUCUGGAUCAUUACUGACACUGAGGAACGAAAGCAUGGGUAGCGAAGAGGAUUAGAUACCCUCGUAGUCCAUGCCGUAAACGAUGUGUGUUAGACGUUGGAAAUUUAUUUUCAGUGUCGCAGGGAAACCGAUAAACACACCGCCUGGGGAGUACGACCGCAAGGUUAAAACUCAAAUGAAUUGACGGGGACCCGCACAAGUAGUGGAGCAUGUGGUUUAAUUCGAAGAUACGCGCAGAACCUUACCAACACUUGACAUGUUCGUCGCGACUCUAAGAGAUUAGAGUUUUCGGUUCGGCCGGACGAAACACAGGUGCUGCAUGGCUGUCGUCAGCUCGUGUCGUGAGAUGUUGGGUUAAGUCCCGCAACGAGCGCAACCCUCACUUUUAGUUGCCAUCAUUAAGUUGGGCACUCUGAAAGAACUGCCAGUGAUAAGCUGGAGGAAGGUGGGGAUGACGUCAAGUCCUCAUGGCCCUUACGUGUUGGGCUACACACGUGCUACAAUGGCAUCUACAACAGGAAGCAAAACGGCAACGUUAAGCAAAUCCCAAAAAGAUGCCUCAGUUCGGAUUGCACUCUGCAACUCGAGUGCAUGAAGCUGGAAUUACUAGUAAUCGUGGAUCAGCGUGCCACGGUGAAUGCGUUCCCGGGUCUUGUACACACUGCCCGUCACACCAUGGGAGUUGGUUCUACCUUAAGGCAAGGUUUUAAACCCUUGACCACGGUAUAGUCAGCGACUGGGGUGAAGUCGUAACAAGGUAACC